UACGAAGGGUGCUAGCGUUGUUCGGAAUUACUGGGCGUAAAGAGCGCGUAGGCGGUUAUACAAGUCAGAGGUGAAAUCCCGGAGCUUAACUCCGGAACUGCCUUUGAAACUGUAUAGCUGGAGUAUGUGAGGGGAUAGCGGAAUUCCUAAUGUAGAGGUGAAAUUCGUAGAUAUUAGGAGGAACACCGGUGGCGAAGGCGGCUAUCUGGCACAUUACUGACGCUGAGGAGCGAAAGCGUGGGGAGCAAACAGG
rnacentral:rRNA from 1 species